rnacentral:rRNA from 1 species
GAUGAACGCUGACAGAAUGCUUAACACAUGCAAGUCAACUUGAAUUUGGGUUUUUAACUUAGAUUUGGGUGGCGGACGGGUGAGUAACGCGUAAAGAACUUGCCUCACAGCUAGGGACAACAUUUAGAAAUGAAUGCUAAUACCUGAUAUUAUGAUUUUAAGGCAUCUUAGAAUUAUGAAAGCUAUAAGCACUGUGAGAGAGCUUUGCGUCCCAUUAGCUAGUUGGAGAGGUAACAGCUCACCAAGGCGAUGAUGGGUAGCCGGCCUGAGAGGGUGAACGGCCACAAGGGGACUGAGACACGGCCCUUACUCCUACGGGAGGCAGCAGUGGGGAAUAUUGGACAAUGGACCGAGAGUCUGAUCCAGCAAUUCUGUGUGCACGAUGAAGUUUUUCGGAAUGUAAAGUGCUUUCAGUUGGGAAGAAAAAAAUGACGGUACCAACAGAAGAAGUGACGGCUAAAUACGUGCCAGCAGCCGCGGUAAUACGUAUGUCACGAGCGUUAUCCGGAUUUAUUGGGCGUAAAGCGCGUCUAGGUGGUUAUAUAAGUCUGAUGUGAAAAUGCAGGGCUCAACUCUGUAUUGCGUUGGAAACUGUAUAACUAGAGUACUGGAGAGGUAAGCGGAACUACAAGUGUAGAGGUGAAAUUCGUAGAUAUUUGCAGGAAUGCCGAUGGGGAAGCCAGCUUACUGGACAGAUACUGACGCUAAAGCGCGAAAGCGUGGGUAGCAAACAGG